rnacentral:rRNA from 1 species
GACGAACGCUGGCGGCGUGCUUAACACAUGCAAGUCGAACGAAGUGGCGAACGGGUGAGUAACGCGUAAUCAACCUGCCCUUCAUAGGGGGACAACCGUUGGAAACGACUGCUAAUACCGCAUACUGACGACAGGGAUUGCGUCUGAUUAGCUAGUUGGAGGGGUAACGGCCCAACAAGGCGAUGAUCAGUAGCCGGUCUGAGAGGAUGAACCGCCACAUUGGGACUUAGACACGGCCCAGACUUCUACGGGAGGAAGCAGUGGGGAAUCUGCCGCAAUGGACGAAAGUCUGACGGAGCAACGCCGCGUGAGUGAUGACGGCCUUCGGGUUGUAAAGCUCUGUUAAUCGGGACGCGGUACCGGAAUAGAAAGCCACGGCUAACUACGUGCCAGCAGCCGCGGUAAUAC